rnacentral:tRNA from 1 species
GAGGGUAUAGCUCAGUGGUAGAGCACACGCUCAGGAUGCACGAGGUCCUGGGUUCAAUAGCCAGUACCUCCA